rnacentral:tRNA from 1 species
UAGGGUUUAGGUUAAUAAUAAACCAGUCACCUUCAAAGUAACAAACAAGUAAAACUAAUACUUAACCCUUA